UUAUGGUUUAUUUUAUAGUUCUAUUCACUGCAUACGGGUUAAGAAUUUUCUUUUUACAAAGCAAUACUCCAACAAUAUACAUACAUAUCUAAGAUGAAUUCCACGCUAUAAUGAAGAAUCCCUUACCCUAAAAACACUUCACUGUCGACCUCCUUUAUUGAAUCCAUCUUUCUUGCAAUGAUAAACAACUGGACAAAUCCACAUUGAA
rnacentral:lncRNA from 1 species